CCCAGACUCCUACGGGAGGCAGCAGUGGGGGAUAUUGCACAAUGGGGGGAACCCUGAUGCAGCGACGCCGCGUGGGUGAAGGAGCGUUUCGGCGCGUAAAGCCCUAUCGGCAGGGAAGAAGGAGGACGGUACCUGACUAAGAAGCCCCGGCUAACUACGUGCCAGCAGCCGCGGUAAUACGUAGGGGGCCAGCGUUAUCCGGAUUUACUGGGUGUAAAGGGGGCGCAGACGGCAGCGCAAGCCAGGAGUGAAAGCCCGGGGCCCAACCCCGGGACUGCUCUUGGAACUGCGCGGCUGGAGUGCAGGAGGGGCAGGCGGAAUUCCUGGUGUAGCGGUGAAAUGCGUAGAUAUCAGGAGGAACACCGGUGGCGAAGGCGGCCUGCUGGACUGCGACUGACGUUGAGGCCCGAAAGCGUGGGGAGCAAACAGGAGUAGAUGCCCGGGUA
rnacentral:rRNA from 1 species